AUGUUUUUAAACUCAGUACUUGUUCGGACUUCGAAAGGUAGUAACUGAAUAUUUAAAAAUGUUUAAGAAAUUUUAUGCGGCUUUACUUAUUAUCACUAUCUUCAGAGCUGUUACUAAAGCGCAACUACCAAAUUGCGAGCCUGUGCUUACUGUCAUAACUAGAGGCCAAAAUGUCUGCCAACGCAAUUGUGCACCAAGACAACCGGCAAAUGACUGCUAUAGAUCCAUAGGUGUUCUAACUAUUCGGUUAUGUCCCCCGCUCUGCUGUCGGGAUGCUAAUAAUCAAUGCGUUGUCGCAAUAAGAAUUGGCAAAUAAGGCCCAACUAAGUAAAAUUUUUAUUUCAAUGACAACACCAGUCAGAUGUUCAUGCGAGACCUGUAUUUUGGAUGAUAUACUAUGUUAAGCUUAAAUGUGUUGUUCUUUCAAUUUCAACCAUAGUUGGAAUGAACAAGAUCGAUGCUGAAGAUACAGUGAAAUUCAGACCACUGGAAUCCAAUUCAUUCUGAGAAGCUGUGAUAGACAUUUACGAGUAUAAUACAAAUAUGGGACUUAAUUUUUCGCAUAAAAACGGAUUAUAACUUGCCAGUUAUCUGUGAGAGCGGACACUCCUCAGCAAGUUGUGUCACAUAUCUGAUUAAGGAAUGGCUUUCAGGGAGUUUUCCUAACUUUUUAGAGGAUAUUUUUAAUUCGCCUAUAUUUUUGGAAUGUCAUCAAAUGGAAGAGAGAGCUCGGAACAUAUUUAGUACAUCGAGCCUUAAGCGUCAUUUAUCUCACAAGAGUGGCGCGAUAAGUACAAGUAUUUACUCUCACCGUCUGAUUGGGCUGCUAUCGUAGGAAACAUUAAUUAUGGAAUCACACUCGUAGUUUUGGAAAUGGAAAAAGAGCUACACAUAUCGAUGGGUGUGGCAAUAAAUUCCUGAUCUUCGCCAGGCAAAGCUGUUUCUGAGAGAUUUUAAUGCAAAACGCUUCAAUCAUUAAUCCAAUAGAGGCCACAUUAGGAAUAAACUAUAGGGUAUAGUGCAUUUAACAACUCUCAAUCCAAGAUAAUGUCGUUGGGUGAUUAAAUUUUUGAGCCGCGUAUGUCCACUCCGAACUCUGGAUCACCACUACGAAAGCCUACUUUGAAGACCUCCAGAAAACGUAUUUUUCAGAGGAGUUAAAGAAAUUGGAGUUCGGCUGGGUCAAAAAGUAACAAGCUAAUAAGAGAGUAUGUUGAGAAAUAAUAAAUCGUGCUUUUCUUUCGUAGACUAAGUUCAUACCGACCGCAGCUCAUAAUGAUAAUAAGUACCUGCAAUUGAUAAAAAUGGCGGAAACAAUGAGAAGAGCUAUGAGCUAUGAGAGACUCUAUGAAUCGUAUAAAUCUUAUGAUCAUAUAAAACCAC